rnacentral:misc_RNA from 1 species
GAUGAAGAACGUAGUGAAAUGCGAUAAGUAAUGUGAAUUGCAGAAUUCAGUGAAUCAUCGAAUCUUUGAACGCACCUUGCGCCCUUUGGCUAUUCCAAAGGGCAUGCCUGUUUGAGUAUCAUGAACACCUCAACUCUCAUGGUCUGCCAUGAUGAGCUUGGACUUUGGAGGUCUGCUGGCCUGUGGUCAGCUCCUCUCAAAUGAAUCAGCUUUCCGGUGUUUGGUGGCAUCAUGGGUGUGAUAAAUAUCUACGCUUGUGGUUUUCCACCAGGUAACCUUCAGUGAUGGGGGUUCGCUGGGGCUCAUAAAUGUCUCUCCUCAGCGAAGACAGCUUUGUGAAUGUUUGAUCUCAAAUCAGGUAGGACUACCCGCUGAACUUAAGCAUAUCAAUAAGCGGAGGA